CCUACGGGUGGCAGCAGGGGGGAAUAUUGGGCAAUGGGCGCAAGCCUGACCCAGCAACGCCGCGGGAAGGAAGAAGGCUCUCGGGUUGUAAACUUCUUUUAUCAGGGACGAAGCAAGUGACGGUACCUGAUGAAUAAGCCACGGCUAACUACGUGCCAGCAGCCGCGGUAAUACGUAGGUGGCAAGCGUUAUCCGGAUUUACUGGGUGUAAAGGGUGUGUAGGCGGGAAAGCAAGGCAGAUGUGAAAACCAUGGGCUCAAACUGUGGCCUGCAUUUGAAACUGUUUUUCUUGAGUACUGGAGAGGCAGCCGGAAUUCCUAGUGUAGCGGUGAAAUGCGUAGAUAUUAGGAGGAACACCAGUGGCGAAGGCGGUCUGCUGGACAGCAACUGACGCUGAGGCGCGAAAGCGUGGGGAGCAAACAGGAUUAGAUACCCCUGUAGUC
rnacentral:rRNA from 1 species